GGCCCCCACCUCAUAAUGUCACCUCAUUGGAAGUUAGGAUUUCAACCUAUGAAGGAGGAAAGGGGCAAGUAUAAACAUUCAGUUCAGUUUCAUUCCCUUUCAUCAUUCAAAAUUUGAGAGUAAUGAUACUUCCUUCAUUGUACUACAUGAGGAUUAAAAUAGAAAAAAAUCACCCAGAGAAUGGACUUUGGAAGGAAGAAUAUAUGCAUGUGAGUUCAGUUUGGUCGCACUCCAGAUCUUUGGCCUUUUGCAUACUGUUAGCUAUAACAUUUGAAUUUAUAUCUCCUUCUCCAGGAUUCUCAAAAGCAUACACAUGAGAAACCUAACCCACUUACACGAAUAUUAAGUGUGUUGAUGAAAAAUAUGUAGCGUGUAACUAUCUUGCAAUAAAAUUAAUAUAACUCAGUGA
rnacentral:lncRNA from 1 species